rnacentral:rRNA from 1 species
GAUGAACGCUGGCGGCGUGCUUAACACAUGCAAGUCGAACGAUGAAGCCCAGCUUGCUGGGUGGAUUAGUGGCGAACGGGUGAGUAACACGUGAGUAACCUGCCCUUGACUCUGGGAUAAGCCUGGGAAACUGGGUCUAAUACUGGAUAUGACUUCUCAUCGCAUGGUGGGGGGUGGAAAGAUUUAUUGGUCUUGGAUGGACUCGCGGCCUAUCAGCUUGUUGGUGAGGUAAUGGCUCACCGAGGCGACGACGGGUAGCCGGCCUGAGAGGGUGACCGGCCACACUGGGACUGAGACACGGCCCAGACUCCUACGGGAGGCAGCAGUGGGGAAUAUUGCACAAUGGGCGCAAGCCUGAUGCAGCGACGCCGCGUGAGGGAUGACGGCCUUCGGGUUGUAAACCUCUUUCAGUAGGGAAGAAGCGAGAGUGACGGUACCUGCAGAAGAAGCGCCGGCUAACUACGUG